CUUGGUCAUUUAGAGGAAGUAAAAGUCGUAACAAGGUUUCCGUAGGUGAACCUGCGGAAGGAUCAUUACCGUGGGGCUUCGGCCCCAUUGAGAUAGCACCCUUUGUUUAUGAGUACCCUUGUUUCCUCGGUGGGCUUGCCCGCCAUGAGGACAUUAAAACCCUUUGUAGUAGCCGUAACUUCAGUUAAUAAUAAAUAUUAAAACUUUCAACAACGGAUCUCUUGGUUCUGGCAUCGAUGAAGAACGCAGCGAAAUGCGAUAAGUAGUGUGAAUUGCAGAAUUCAGUGAAUCAUCGAAUCUUUGAACGCACAUUGCGCCCUUCGGUAUUCCGUUGGGCAUGCCUGUUCGAGCGUCAUUUAAACCUUCAAGCUAUGCUUGGUGUUGGGUGUUUGUUCCGCCUCAGCGCGUGGACUCGCCUCAAAUUCAUUGGCAGCCGGUAUGUUGGCUUCGUGCGCAGCACAUUGCAAGCGACUUCAGCAAACCUCCUUCCAUAAGCCCUUUUUUUACUUUGACCUCGGAUCAGGUAGGGAUACCCGCUGAACUUAAGCAUAUCAAUAAGCGGAGGA
rnacentral:rRNA from 1 species